ACAAGGUAUGUUAUUAUGAAAUUGCAGAUUAUUAUAGGAUUAGAUACAAAGAGCUAUGUAUUGUUAUAAAUUAACUUAAUUUGUAAUUAGUUUAGAAAUUCAUAUGCUGCUUGUAGGGACAAAGCCAGAGUUUUAGUUAUGAAUUCGAGAUAUUAAAUAACUUUGGCUAAAGUAUUGUAUUAAUAAAUUCACAUAAAAGCAGUAUGCUACUUUUUCUUACAUCAAGAAUAUCUAAACUCAAAAUUCUAAAUCUACUUUUCAUUGCUAGUGCAAAACAUAAACUAUUCUUUUUAAUUGUCACCAUGAUCAAGGACAAAAGAGCCAAGUGGCCACCCUUAUAAACACUAGCCAAGCCAUCCAAAACAAACCCUCUCUUCCCUUUCAUGUGAGGCUUCCUUUGCAUGGUUUUCCUUGUGGAUAGCCACCCUUUUGCCAUCAACUUUUACGGCAAGAGGGUGGCUAUGAAAAGGCGGUUCUCAUCAUUAAUUCACCAAAGAUGGUGCCUUCCUUGUUAGAAAUAUUGCAAUUCACAGCAUGAAUGGCCAUUAAUAAACUCUUGGUGCUGUUUUUUUUUGGUUGGAAAGGGCAAUUUUAUCCUUUGUCAUUUUCAACCCCCUUAAAGAGUCAUUUAGUUGGCUUGAUUGAUGAAAUAGUUUUUGAAAAGAAGAGCAAUCUCAAGGGUCUCAAGGGCAAGGCAAAUUAUUUAUGUUGAUCCUAUAGUUCUCCACUUAAUUAAUAGUUCUUAGUUAUUCAUGACUUUAAUUAUAUAAUGCAUAUUGUUGUGUGUUUGUGAGCUAUUUAGUUUAUGAUCAUGUUUGUGUGCUAGGCCUCUGGCCCAAAUAAAGAGAGUAUAGUGUUUGUAUUAAAGUUUGUUGCCAGUGUUAAAAAAUUACUAUAUGAUAUCUAUGGUGUAUAAUUUAAAUAUUAUAGCAAUAUUUAUUUGAAUUUGGGGUGUAUAAUAUUACUUGGUAUGGCAUCCGUCAUUUCUGUACCCUGUAACGCCAAAAAUUAUGAAAACAUAAAACCUUUUCUCUAAAAAAUUUUACUUUUAUUAAUGGAAAUGGUUAUUAAAUGCUUUUAGUUAGGGGUGGGCAUUAGGUUUGUUCGAUUUGAUAGUUUAAUAUCGGUUCGAUUUUUUUAUUUUU
rnacentral:lncRNA from 1 species